UCAAACGGUAGGAGUUUUUUCUUAACGACUGCAUUUCAUAUUGCUUCAUUGUUUCUCCAUAUCCCUAUGAGAAUGCAGUUCGGAAGGAGGAGCCACAACGAGUGUCUGAAUACGUGAAUGCGGGGAAGAAGAAAACGCCGCAAGCAGUUGGCGCAUUCACCAGCUUCGUGGCACAGUGACGCUGCUUGCAAAGUGCGCAUUUCUUCGCUUGGCCGCUUUCACCUGUGCUCAGUUUGGCGGCUCCAAAUGAAAAGAAAGAUUGGUCGCUGGCUGGACGUGAAUGCUGACUACGGCGAUACCUACCGCGAGUGAACUUGAUGUGACAUGGCACAUACGCUAGAGCAUCGGAUAAAGAUACAAUAAAUGGUGUGUCGAAAGCACGACUUUCCGCCC
rnacentral:lncRNA from 1 species